rnacentral:rRNA from 1 species
GGAGGAAAAGAAACUAACAAGGAUUCCCCUAGUAACUGCGAGUGAAGCGGGAAAAGCUCAAAUUUAAAAUCUGGUAGUCUUUGGCUGCCCGAGUUGUAAUCUAGAGAAGCGUUAUCCGCGCUGGACCGUGUAUAAGUCUCCUGGAAUGGAGCGUCAUAGAGGGUGAGAAUCCCGUCUUUAACACGGACUACCAGGGCUUUGUGAUGCGCUCUCAAAGAGUCGAGUUGUUUGGGAAUGCAGCUCUAAAUGGGUGGUAAAUUCCAUCUAAAGCUAAAUAUUGGCGAGAGACCGAUAGCGAACAAGUACCGUGAGGGAAAGAUGAAAAGAACUUUGGAAAGAGAGUUAAACAGUACGUGAAAUUGUUGAAAGGGAAACGCUUGAAGUCAGUCGCGUUGGUCGGGGAUCAACCUUGCUUUUGCUUGGUGUACUUCCUGGUUAACGGGUCAGCAUCAAUUUUGACCAAUGGAAAAAGGUCAGGGGAAUGUGGCAUCUUCGGAUGUGUUAUAGCCUCUGGUCAUAUACAUUGGUUGGGAUUGAGGAACUCAGCACGCCGCAAGGCCGGGUUUUUACCACGUUCGUGCUUAGGAUGCUGGCAUAAUGGCUUUAAUCGACCCGUCU